AACGAACGCUAUCGGUAUGCUUAACACAUGCAAGUCGGACGGACUAAUUAGGGCUUGCUCCACUUAGUUAGUGGCAGACGGGUGAGUAACACGUGGGAAUCUGCCCAUCAGUACGGAAUAACUUUUAGAAAUAAAAGCUAAUACCGUAUAUUCUCUACAGAGGAAAGAUUUAUCGCUGAUGGAUGAGCCCGCGUCAGAUUAGGUAGUUGGUGAGGUAACGGCUCACCAAGCCGACGAUCUGUAGCUGGUCUGAGAGGAUGAUCAGCCACACUGGGACUGAGACACGGCCCAGACUCCUACGUGAGGCAGCAGUGGGGAAUAUUGGACAAUGGGCGAAAGCCUGAUCCAGCAAUACCGAGUGAGUGAUAAAGGCCCUAGGGUUGUAAAGCUCUUUUAGCAAGGAAGAUAAUGACGUUACUUGCAGAAAAAGCCCCGGCUAACUCCGUG
rnacentral:rRNA from 1 species